rnacentral:misc_RNA from 1 species
UUUCCCGACUAUUCCUGAUUGGUCAAGAUCACAUUCUCUCCCAAGCCCCAAGCCCGCGAAUUUGCCGCGACUGAUCCAAGAUGGUGGAUGAAACCGCUCGAAAGCGGUUCAAACCAAGUGAUUCUAUUCAAAUGAUUACUUGUCAAGGCCCAGUUAAUAUUGCCGUCAUAAAAUACUGGGGAAAGAGGUACGAACGGCUUAUUCUCCCGCUGAAUUCUUCACUUAGCGUCACUCUCGAUAAAAAGGAGCUCCACUCCAUCACAACGGUUGCAGCCUGUGAGAAUUUUUCCGAGGAUUGUCUAUGGCUUAAUGGAAGGAAGCAUAAUGUUGCUGAAAUGCCCAGGAUUCAAAAGUGUUUAUCCAGAAUUAGGGAGCUGUCUCAGGAUGAGAAUUUCAAAAACAGCAAGGGUUUAGAGCUCAGAGGCAGGCACGUUCAUAUCUGUUCAGAGAAUAACUUUCCUACAGCUGCAGGCCUGGCAUCAUCCGCUGCAGGGUAUUCUUGUUUAGUGUUUGCUCUGUCAAGGUUAUUUCAAAUUGAUGGCGAUCUGUCAACAAUUGCAAGGCAGGGUUCAGGAAGUGCUUGUCGCAGUAUGUAUGGAGGAUUUGUCGAGUGGGAAAAAGGAGAAAAGGAUGAUGGAUCUGACAGCAUUGCUAAGCAGAUUGCUACAGAAGACCAUUGGUUAGGAUUGAGAGUCCUGAUUCUGGUGGUGAAUGAACACAAAAAGGGUACAAGUAGCACUGAGGGGAUGAGACGAAGUGUUGAAACCAGCGACCUGCUUAAGUUCAGGUCAGAAUUGUGCGUCCCCAAAAGAAUGGAGGUAAUGAAAAAAGCAAUAUCAGAAAGAGAUUUCAAGACAUUUGCAGAAACUACUAUGAAGGAAAGCAAUCAACUACAUGCAGUGUGCCAGGACACAUACCCGCCAAUAACACCACCAUACAUGAACCAAACCUCACACGGAAUAGUUCAAUUGGUUACACAGUACAACAACUUCUAUCAUGAACCCAAGGUUGCCUACACGUUCGAUGCAGGACCCAACGCGUUUUUGUUUCUGAUGGAAAACGAUAUUGCAGAAGUACUGGCUCUGAUCAGACAUUUCUUUCCCCCAGAAACAGACGCCGGAUUUGUUCAAGGAAUUGAAAUUUAUCCUCAAGCCACGAUAUCAAAGAGUCUUUUGGAAUCAAUAACCAUUGAACCAACCCAGGGAGCUGUGAAGUAUAUCAUUUCAACAAAGGCUGGGAGUGGACCAAGCGAACUUGGACAGGAAUAUAGUCUUUUAGAUGAAAAUGGACUUCCUAAAUCAUGCGAAACUGUCAUUCCACAGUCGAACUUCCCCUAACCGAAACCUCAAGAGUGCAGACGCCUCUCGUAUGCGGACAAAUAAUGAUAACAACAGAUUUUUAAUCUCCCAUGAGCGGAAACCUCCCAACUGGACACUUUUUUCUGGCACCAGGUGUCAACAUUUUGGAGGUUCGACUUUACUACAAUAUGUGAAAUGAUGACUGCUACAGUUGCGGCAGUUGAUAGAGAGUCUCUCGU